GCUGGAAUAAUGAUGAGUUCACUUUCAUCGCCGUUUACCCAUCAGACAACAGAGUGGUGAGACUUUGAAAACUGAAUAUCCAGC
rnacentral:snoRNA from 1 species